rnacentral:rRNA from 1 species
AGUGAACGCUGGCGGUAGGCCUAACACAUGCAAGUCGAACGGCAGCACAGUAAGAGCUUGCUCUUACGGGUGGCGAGUGGCGGACGGGUGAGGAAUACAUCGGAAUCUACUUUUUCGUGGGGGAUAACGUAGGGAAACUUACGCUAAUACCGCAUACGACCUACGGGUGAAAGCAGGGGAUCUUCGGACCUUGCGCGAUUGAAUGAGCCGAUGUCGGAUUAGCUAGCUGGCGGGGUAAAGGCCCACCAAGGCGACGAUCCGUAGCUGGUCUGAGAGGAUGAUCAGCCACACUGGAACUGAGACACGGUCCAGACUCCUACGGGAGGCAGCAGUGGGGAAUAUUGGACAAUGGGCGCAAGCCUGAUCCAGCCAUACCGCGUGGGUGAAGAAGGCCUUCGGGUUGUAAAGCCCUUUUGUUGGGAAAGAAAAGCAGCAGGUUAAUACCCUGCUGUUCUGACGGUACCCAAAGAAUAAGCACCGGCUAACUUCGUG